rnacentral:rRNA from 1 species
GACGAACGCUGGCGGCGUGCUUAACACAUGCAAGUCGAGCGGUAAGGCCCUUUCGGGGGUACACGAGCGGCGAACGGGUGAGUAACACGUGGGUGACCUGCCCUCAGCUCUGGGAUAAGCCUGGGAAACCGGGUCUAAUACUGGAUAUGACUCCAUGACGCAUGUUGUGGGGUGGAAAGCCUUGUGCGGCUGAGGAUGGGCCCGCGGCCUAUCAGCUUGUUGGUGGGGUGANGGCCUACC